rnacentral:rRNA from 1 species
GAUGAACGCUGGCGGCGUGCCUAAUACAUGCAAGUCGAGCGAACAGACGAGGAGCUUGCUCCUCUGACGUUAGCGGCGGACGGGUGAGUAACACGUGGAUAACCUACCUAUAAGACUGGGAUAACUUCGGGACACCGGCGCUAAUACCGGAUAAUAUAUUGAACCGCAUGGUUCAAUAGUGAAAGACGGUUUUGCUGUCACUAAUAGCUGGAUCCGCGCCGCAUUAGCUAGUUGGUACGGUAACGGCUUACCAAGGCGAGGAUGCGUAGCCGACCUGAGAGGGUGAUCGGCCACACUGGAACUGAGACACGGUCCAGACUCCUACGGGAGGCAGCAGUAGGGUAUCUUACGCAAUGGGCGGAAGCCUGGCGGAGCAACGCCGCGUGAGUGAUGAAGGUCUUCGGAUCGUAAAACUCUGUUAUUAGGGAAGAACAAAUGUGUAAGUAACUAUGCACGUAUUGACGGUACCGAGUCAGAAAGCCACGGCUAACUACGUG